rnacentral:lncRNA from 1 species
AUGUUUAUGUUAAUGAAGCAAAGUAGUUCUGACAGUAUAACCAAUAUGCCAGCUAUCAGUCUACAGGCAAGCUUUUUGAUAUAUAAAAUAUUGAAAUACAGGUAUCCUUCGUAUAAGCUAGUAGAUAGGCUAAAAAAUGCCAUGGAAAACAUAGUAUAUGAGACUGGAGUCAAUACAAAAAAGGGAGUUGCAUUCCAAAACCAAUUUAAACAAAUGAAAUUAAAACAAAUAACUUCCUUUAAUUCCACAUAAGAAACUUAAUUUUUAUUAAGAAUAUUAAUAACACAAAACAUAAAGAAAGAAAAAAUGUAUAUCUAAGACCCUAAAAAAACG